GUGUAUUUGACAAGCUGAGUUG
rnacentral:miRNA from 1 species